UACGUAGGGUGCAAGCGUUGCCCGGAUUUAUUGGGCGUAAAGGGCGCGUAGGCGGCUCUGCACGUUCGUUGUGAAAUCGCCCGGCUCAACUGGGCGGGGUCAGCGGAUACGGCAGAGCUUGAGCAAGCUAGGGGGCAAUGGAAUUCCCGGUGUAGUGGUGAAAUGCGUAGAUAUCGGGAGGAACACCAGUGGCGAAGGCGACUACCUGGCCUGUUCUUGACGCUGAGGCGCGAAAGCGUGGGGAGCAAACAGG
rnacentral:rRNA from 1 species